rnacentral:rRNA from 1 species
CCUACGGGUUGUUUUCGUGGGGAAUAUUGGACAAUGGGGGGAACCCUGAUCCAGCCAUGCCGCGUGUGUGAAGAAGGCCCUCGGGUUGUAAAGAACUUUCAGUGAGGAAGAACGCCUGGUGGUUAAUACCCAUCAGGAAAGACAUCACUCACAGAAGAAGCACCGGCUAACUCCGUGCCAGCAGCCGCGGUAAUACGGAGGGUGCGAGCGUUAAUCGGAAUUACUGGGCGUAAAGCGCGCGUAGGUGGCUUGAUAAGCCGGUUGUGAAAGCCCCGGGCUCAACCUGGGAACGGCAUCCGGCGCGCGCAGGGGAGAGCGCAGGAGAGGAAGGGAGAGUACCCGGGCGAGGGCGGAAGUGGGGAGCGGUCGAGAGGAGUAGGAGUGGUGGUGGCGGUCUCCAGGAGUACCACUGACACUGGGGUGCUAAUGUUUGGGUAGCCACCGGGAUUGACUAACCUAGGAGUG